rnacentral:tRNA from 1 species
GGCACCAUAGUUCAACGGAUAGAAUAGGCGUUUCCUAAACGUUCGAUGUGGGUUCGAUUCCCGCUGGAGCCACAA